UCNGAACUAUCUAGCCGCCUUUCCGCCCAC
rnacentral:piRNA from 1 species